CGCUGGCGGCGUGCAUAACACAUGCAAGUCGAACGAUGAAGCUUUUUUGAUUUCUUCGGAAUGAUUAAAAGUGGAUUAGUGGCGGACGGGUGAGUAACGCGUGAGUAACCUGCCUUAGAGAAGGGGAUAGCCUUUGGAAACGAAGAAUAAUACCCUAUGAAACCAUAACCUCGCAUGAGGCCUUGGUCAAAGAUUUAUCGCUCUAAGAUGGACUUGCGUCUGAUUAGUUAGUUGGUGGGGUAACGGCCUACCAAGACAGCGAUCAGUAGCCGGCUUGAGAGAGUGUACGGCCACAUUGGGACUGAGACACGGCCCAGACUCCUACGGGAGGCAGCAGUGGGGAAUUUUGCACAAUGGGGGAAACCCUGAUGCAGCGACGCCGCGUGAUUUAGAAGGCCUUCGGGUUGUAAAAAUCUUUUCUAUGGGAAGAAAAUGACAGUACCAUAGGAAUAAGGACCGGCUAAUUACGUGCCAGCAGCCGCGGUAAUACGUAAGGUCUGAGCGUUGUCCGGAAUCAUUGGGCGUAAAGGGUACGUAGGCGGGUAAGCAAGUUAGAAGUGAAAUCCUAUAGCUCAACUAUAGUAAGCUUUUAAAACUGCUCAUCUUGAGGUAUGGAAGGGAAAGUGGAAUUCCUAGUGUAGCGGUGAAAUGCGCAGAUAUUAGGAGGAAUACCGGUGGCGAAGGCGACUUUCUGGCCAUAACCUGACGCUGAGGUACGAAAGCGUGGGUAGCAAACAGGAUUAGAUACCCUGGUAGUCCACGCCGUAAACGAUGAGUGUUAGGUGUCUGGAGUAAAUCUGGGUGCCGCAGCUAACGCAUUAAACACUCCGCCUGGGAGUACGCGCGCAAGCGGA
rnacentral:rRNA from 1 species